AACGAACGCUGGCGGCAUGCCUAACACAUGCAAGUCGAACGAGACCUUCGGGUCUAGUGGCGCACGGCUGCGUAACACCGGGGAACCUGCCCGUAGGUUCGGAAUAACUCCCCGUAAGGGGUGCUAAUACCGGUUAAUGUCUUCCGACCAAGGAUUUAUGGCGUUUGGAUGGGCCCGCGUUGGAUUCGCUGGUUGGUAGGGUAAAAGCCUACCAAGGCGUCGAUGCAUAGCUGGUCGGAGAGCAGGCUCAGCCACACUUGGACUGAGACACGGCCCAGACUGCGACGGGAGGGAGGAGUGUAGUAUAUUAUGGGAUGGGGCCAGACCUGGCAAAGCCGUGCGGGGGAAGUGAUGCAGGGCUUAGGGUUGUAAAUCCGCUUUAGACGAGAUGAUAAUGACGGUAACGGGUGAAUAAGCUCCGGCUAACUACGUG
rnacentral:rRNA from 1 species